GAUGAACGCUGGCGGCGUGCCUAAUACAUGCAAGUCGAGCGAACAGAUGAGGAGCUUGCUCCUCUGACGUUAGCGGCGGACGGGUGAGUAACACGUGGAUAACCUACCUAUAAGACUGGGAUAACUUCGGGAAACCGGAGCUAAUACCGGAUAAUAUAUUGAACCGCAUGGUUCAAUAGUGAAAGACGGUUUUGCUGUCACUUAUAGAUGGAUCCGCGCCGCAUUAGCUAGUUGGUAAGGUAACGGCUUACCAAGGCAACGAUGCGUAGCCGACCUGAGAGGGGGAUCGGCCCCCCCGGAAAUGAGACACGGGCCAGAAUCCUAAGGGAGGCAGCAGGAGGGAAUCUUCCGCAAUGGGCGAAAGCCUGACGGAGCAACGCCGCGUGAGUGAUGAAGGUCUUCGGAUCGUAAAACUCUGUUAUUAGGGAAGAACAAAUGUGUAAGUAACUAUGCACGUCUUGACGAUACCUAAUCAGAAAGCCACGGCUAACUACGU
rnacentral:rRNA from 1 species